GUGCAUGAAGACCGGUGUUCGGUCCGCGGGCAAAGGACCGACCUAACAUUUGUUCCUGAUCGGUCUUUUGUCCGCGGCCGUUCUGAGAUCAUACGGUUGAACUUGAUCUGGAUAAUUCCAGCGAAAGGACUCAUGCGCUUUUCUG
rnacentral:ncRNA from 1 species